AUUGAACGCUGGCGGCAGGCUUAACACAUGCAAGUCGAGCGGGGGAAGGUAGCUUGCUACCGGACCUAGCGGCGGACGGGUGAGUAAUGCUUAGGAACCUGCCUAUUAGUGGGGGACAACAUCUCGAAAGGGAUGCUAAUACCGCAUACGUCCUACGGGAUAAAGCAGGGGAUCUUCGGACCUUGCGCUAAUAGAUGAGCCUAAGUCGGAUUAGCUAGGUGGGGGGGUAAAGGCCUACCAAGGCGACGAUCUGUAGCGGGUCUGAGAGGAUGAUCCGCCACACUGGGACUGAGACACGGCCCAGACUCCUACGGGAGGCAGCAGUGGGGAAUAUUGGACAAUGGGGGGAGCCCUGAUCCAGCCAUGCCGCGUGUGUGAAGAAGGCCUUAUGGUUGUAAAGCACUUUAAGCGAGGAGGAGGCUACUUUAGUUAAUACCUAGAGAUAGUGGACGUUACUCGCAGAAUAAGCACCGGCUAACUCUGUGCCAGCCGCCGCCGUAA
rnacentral:rRNA from 1 species